AUGUGGGUGUGCCCGAAAGGGAACCUAGACACAGGUGCUGCAUGGCUGUCGUCAGCUCGUGUCGUGGGAUGUUGGGUUAAGUCCCGCAACGAGCGCAACCCUUGCCAUUAGUUGCUACAUUCAGUUGGGCACUCUAAUGGGACCGCCGGUGACAAACCGGAGGAAGGUGGGGAUGACGUCAAGUCCUCAUGGCCCUUAUGGGUAGGGCUUCACACGUAAUACAAUGGUCGGUACAGAGGGCUGCCAACCCGCAAGGGGGAGCUAAUCCCAGAA
rnacentral:rRNA from 1 species